rnacentral:sRNA from 1 species
CUUCUUCGAUCUGCUGUGGGCAAAUGAAGUGGAUGUGCGCGUCGAAACCGCCAGCCGUCAGGAUCUUACCUUCGCCGGCGAUGACCUCUGUGCCGGGACCGAUGACGAUCUUAACGCCGGGUUGGAUAUCCGGGUUUCCGGCUUUGCCAAUCGCAUCAAUCAAACCGUCCUUCAAGCCGACGUCGGCUUUGACGAUGCCCCAGUGAUCGAUGAUGAGCGCGUUGGUGAUGACCGUAUCGACGGCGCCGUCGCUUCGCGUUCGCUGCGACUGGCCCAUACCAUCGCGAAUG